GGAAGAUUAUGGGAUGGAGCUGGAACCAGGUUGAAUGGUGGUGGGCUUUUAUUAGCAGUGCCGUGGGGGCGGCGGUGAAGGGCUGUUGCUGGACAAAUUGAGAGCUGGACAAAUAGAUCUGCAGUUUUGGAGCCAGUUUCUGAAUUGGGCGGGGGAGAGUUGGAGGAAAGAGGGAUGCACUACCCUCCUUAGCCUCUUAGCGGGCUUAGAAGGGGAGGGCCCAGAGAACUACAAUACCCAGAAGCCCCAAAGCGUCCCAGCGGCUCAGAAAGGGCUUUGGGGAGCGCGCCCUCAAGGAGUGUGGCGGAAUUGGCAAGAGGCAAAAACAAACUGCUCUCCUGCUUUGGUGUUUCGCCAGUAGAGCUGAGGAAUAAUGCAAUAAGUAGUGGACCAGGAAAACAACCAGUAUCAGAGACACCUGGGCAGGACAUCCCCCUCUGCCAGGGGAGUGAGAGGGGUGCUCGACAUCAUUGGACCCCUGAGGAAAAUUAAGGGCAGAAGGGCAGAGAGAAUCUAACCAGCAGGGGGCCACAAACCUGAUUUUCUUCAAGAUCAGGUGCACUAUUCCAGAGGUAUGUAAUCUGUGACUAGCUUUGGUUUAUUUUAGCCUUUCUCAGGAUUCAGAUGAGAGAAUGGGGAUGCUUAUAGUAGGAUAAUGAAUUUGGGACUGUUGUGACUUACAAAAUCAUAGAAUUUAGAGAGAGAACAGACUUUAAGUUCAUCUGGUCCAACUCCAAUGACUUAUAAAUGAGGAAACUGAGACCUGGAGAGAAUAAGUGACUUAUCCUGGCCACAGAGCUAGGAUCCAAAUCUAGGCACCUGUUUUCUUUCUAGCUGAUAUCACCUUCCCUCCCUCCCCCCUUUCCCCACUUAACAUUUAGUAGAUUUAAUUGUUCAAUAAAUGCUUAUUGACUUGCUGGGGAUUAGGGCUG
rnacentral:lncRNA from 1 species